rnacentral:lncRNA from 1 species
GACCAAGGUCACCUGGUGGUCUGAUUUGUCGAGGUUAGAGAAAGAGAUCUGGUGCUUGGCCGGCCAUGGGCGGUUGUCGGCCAAGUGCUGGCGGUGGAGCCGUGGUGGCUGCAUUUCAGUCCAGGAUCGGAGGUGAUUGGAUCUAUGGUGGUUUGGGUCUGAUUACUGUGCCUCCUGAUGGAGCUGUGGGAGACGGAGGUGCUCAGGCACAUCC